AACAAAUGCCACCUGUGAGUAGUUUCCCUGUCUGUGCUUCUCGUUUCGGAAUAGUCGAUUAAGGAGUAAAUAAUGGCAGAUGUCAGGACAGAAGCUGAGUUUUCCUGUGUUUGGUGUCGGACCGCGGCCACGAAGUCAGGGGUCUGCUCACCGGAUUUCGACACACCACGAUCCCGGGGUCUUAGCUAAGGUGUGACUUCAUGCUAGCUCUCUGUCUUUCUGUCUGCCAAGAUGUACUUCAUAUCGAUAGAGCAGAUGGUUUCGGAGUCUCUGCCAGGUCCUUCAUCUAAUGUAAGGCCAAAGGGUUUCUCUGUGAUCUCCAGUGUAUGGCUGAUGGGGCUGGAUGGGUCACUGUUGAGGCUGCUGAUGUGCUCAUGGGGGACCUCGAACCUCUGCCUGUGGGCAUCAGAGAUCUGAGGGAAAGGAAACAACCAUACAGGCAUUGUGAACAUGCCCUCAUAUCUCACUGUCAUGUUUGUACUUUGUUUUGUAUAUUGCUGUUUUUGUCCUCUUUUGUUCUGUAUAGCAUUCGCGUUAAACAUGCUU